rnacentral:rRNA from 1 species
CCUACGGGUUGCAGCAGUGGGGAAUAUUGCACAAUGGGGGAAACCCUGAUGCAGCCAUGCCGCGUGUGUGAAGAAGGCCUUCGGGUUGUAAAGCACUUUCAGUGGGGAGGAAGGCGAUAAGGUUAAUAACCUUGUCGAUUGACGUUACCCGCAGAAGAAGCACCGGCUAACUCCGUGCCAGCAGCCGCGGCAAUACGGAGGGUGCAAGCGUUAAUCGGAAUUACUGGGCGUAAAGCGCACGCAGGCGGUCUGUCAAGUCGGAUGUGAAAUCCCCGGGCUCAACCUGGGAACUGCAUUCGAAACUGGCAGGCUAGAGUCUUGUAGAGGGGGGUUGAAUUCCAGGUGUAGCGGUGAAAUGCGUAGAGAUCUGAGGAAUACCGGUGGCGAAGGCGGCCCCCUGGACAAAGACUGACGCUCAGGUGCGAAAGCGUGGGGAGCAAACAGGAUUAGAUACCCGUGUAGUC